AUUGAACGCUGGCGGCAGGCUUAACACAUGCAAGUCGAGCGGGGGAAGGUAGCUUGCUACCGGACCUAGCGGCGGACGGGUGAGUAAUGCUUAGGAAUCUGCCUAUUAGUGGGGGACAACAUCUCGAAAGGGAUGCUAAUACCGCAUACGUCCUACGGGAGAAAGCAGGGGAUCUUCGGACCUUGCGCUAAUAGAUGAGCCUAAGUCGGAUUAGCUAGUUGGUGGGGUUAAGGCCUACCAAGGCGACGAUCUGUAGCGGGUCUGAGAGGAUGAUCCGCCACACUGGGACUGAGACACGGCCCAGACUCCUACGGGAGGCAGCAGUGGGGAAUAUUGGACAAUGGGGGGAACCCUGAUCCAGCCAUGCCGCGUGUGUGAAGAAGGCCUUAUGGUUGUAAAGCACUUUAAGCGAGGAGGAGGCUACUCUAGUUAAUACCUAGGGAUAGUGGACGUUACUCGCAGAAUAAGCACCGGCUAACUCUGUGCCAGCCGCCGCAGUAA
rnacentral:rRNA from 1 species